rnacentral:sRNA from 1 species
AAAUAUUUUCAUAAAUUAAAUAGUGAUUGUUUGCUUUUGUAAAUCUGCUGAAAGCGGUAAUGUUAAUUUGUUAUAUAGGAAAAGGCACAUGUCUGACAAAAUGAAGGGUCAAGUGAAGUGGUUUAAUGAAUCUAAAGGCUUUGGUUUCAUCACUCCUUCUGAUGGUAGCAAAGAUGUAUUCGUUCACUUCUCUGCCAUUCAGGGAAAUGGAUUUAAAACCCUGGCUGAGGGGCAAAAUGUAGAAUUUAUCAUUGAAGAUGGUUCGAAAGGUCCAGCUGCUGCAAAUGUAACUGCUCUUUAAGAUUAGUUAAAAAAAAUGGAUUUUAGAAGCCUAUCGCGUGAGCGGGAGGCUUCUUU